UACGGAGGGUGCAAGCGUUAUCCGGAUUCACUGGGUUUAAAGGGUGCGUAGGUGGGCAGGUAAGUCAGUGGUGAAAUCUCCGAGCUUAACUCGGAAACUGCCAUUGAUACUAUCUGUCUUGAAUUAUCUGGAGGUGAGCGGAAUAUGUCAUGUAGCGGUGAAAUGCUUAGAUAUGACAUAGAACACCAAUUGCGAAGGCAGCUCACUACGGAUAUAUUGACACUGAGGCACGAAAGCGUGGGGAUCAAA
rnacentral:rRNA from 1 species